AAGCUUACAUAUAUAUAAGUGGGAAGCUAGCACCUCCAGAGAUCAUACCAUUCGAGCUCUAUAGCUAGCUCCCUCAAAACUAGCUAGAUCUGUGUUAUACAUGUAUGAUAUGCAAACCAACACAGAGAAAGAGCUCACCAGCAGAAACAUGGAUGAGAAGGAUGAGAAGGCUGCAGUUACAAACUCAGAUGAGCCUGAAGUUAAGUACAGUGGGAUCAAAGCCAUGCCCUUUGUUAUAGGGAAUGAGACCUUUGAGAAGCUAGGAACACUGGGAACCUCAUCCAACCUGUUGGUCUAUCUCACCACAGUCUUCAACAUGAAAAGCAUCACAGCUACAAAUCUUGUCAAUAUCUUCAAUGGCACCAUCAACGUUGCUACCUUGCUAGGAGCCUUCCUAUGCGAUACAUAUUUCGGCCGUUACAAGACCUUGGGAUUUGCUUCUGUUUCUUCUUUUGUGGGAAUGCUGGUGCUAACUUUAACAGCUGCAGUUGCACAGCUACAUCCUCCACACUGUGUGCCAACAGGGCCAUGCAGUGGCCCAACACCAUGGCAAAUGGCAUUUCUGUUGAGUGGCCUAGGAUUACUAGUUGUUGGAGGUGGUGGGAUUAGACCCUGCAACUUAUCCUUUGGUGCAGACCAGUUUAAUCCCAAUAGUGAGUCAGGGAAGAGAGGUCUCAGUAGCUUCUUCAAUUGGUACUACUUCACCUUCACAUUUGCCAUGAUGGUUUCUUUGACAAUCAUCGUCUAUGUGCAAACUGAUGUGAGCUGGGCAUGGGGUCUGGCAAUUCCCACAUUUCUCAUGUUCUUGUCAUGCGCAAUGUUCUUUUUGGGUUCCAAAAUCUAUGUGAAAGUGAAACCAGAUGGUAGUCCAUUGACAAGUGCAGUGAGGGUUUUAGUCGCCGCAGCCAAGAAGAGGCGGUUGAAGUCACCGGAGCAACCGUGGUUGUCGCUUUACAAUCAUAUACCAACCAGCUCAAUCAACUCCAAGAUUCCCUACACUGAUCAACUCAAAGUCCUGGACAAAGCUGCCAUCAUCACCGAAGAAGACACAAUCAACUUGGACGGAUCGGUAACAAACCCUUGGAAACUCUGCACAAUGCAAGAAGUAGAACAAGUGAAAUGCCUUGUUAGAGUGAUCCCCGUAUGGCUUUCGUCCUUCAUAUUCUACAUUGCCAUGGUCCAAAUGCAAACCUCUGUAGUCUUCCAAGCAAUUCAAUCCAAUAGGCGCCUCAGCGGCACCAGUUUCGAUAUCCCUGCCGCGACGUACAUAGUCUUCUCAAUGGCGAGCCUCACACUCUGGAUACCCUUCUACGAUAGAGUCAUUGUACCGAAACUGCGAAAAGUUACAGGAAUAGAAGACGGUAUCACCCUGCUUCAAAAGAUGGCAGUUGGGAUGGUGCUUGCAUAGUAACAAUGCUGGUGUCUGCCUUAGUUGAAGUGAAGAGGAAAACUUGGCCUUGUCUAGUCCCAUAGGAAUGGACACUAGAACAGGUGCAAUAUCUUCCAUGUCUGCCUUUUGGCUCAUACCACAGUUAACCAUAAUAGGACUUGCAGAGGCAUUUACUAUUAUAUCUCAAGUGGAGUUCUACUACAAGCAAUUCCCAGAAAACAUGAGAAGUAUUGGUGCAGCUUUUUUGUUUGUGGGAUUUGCAGGGUCGAAUUACUUGAACAGUUUUUUGGUGUCGAUAGUUCACCAUACCACUAGUCGUAAUGGGUCAAUUGGGGACUGGUUGCCUGAGGAUCUUAACAAGGGGAAAUUGGAUUACUUUUACUACUUAGUUGCUGGAUUGGAGUUCAUAAAUUUGGUGUAUUUUGUGCUAGUCGCUAGGUGGUUCAAGUACAAAGGAAGUGGAGGCAGUGUGGCAUCUGAAGUUGGGUUGGAAAAUAUGCAAUCUGAGAACCAUCUUGUUUGAUAGCUUAGCCAAUUGUGAUAAAUGUAGAAAUGUCAUAUAUAAUAUGAAUAUGUCUUAGAUACAACGGUUCUACACUUCUACACAAUGCCGAAAGAUUUUAUAUACUUGCUACUGUAUAUACAAUAAAAAAAAUAUCAUAUUGCAUACAUGCAAUG